rnacentral:lncRNA from 1 species
GAAGCUCUGGGGCUUCAGUCAAUGACUCAGGGUAGCCACCGAACAUGAUGCUCGGGCAGUGGGUGCCACCUGGACUCCACUCUCCCCUCUCUCUGGGAUCAUAGAGUCCAAGGUGUUCUGUGGCCUCUCGGCCAAUCCCAGCAGCUCAGCGUGCAGAAGACCGAGGAGCCAUUGGAAAAGAAAAAGAGAACAUAUAUCCCCCUACCUUUUGAUUUCCAACAGUCUACUGAGAGGCCAAGAUUAUUUGCAGGGAAAGAAAAGGGGUCAAAAUGUUUUGCCAGUAACUCCCAAAUCAUCUACAGCCAAGGAGAAAAGUGUUUCAAGACAGAGGUGCUCAAUGGUAUCAAAUACUGCCAACAGACCAAGUAAUACAUGCAUUGAAGUGUCUACUGGAUCUAGCUAUAUGAUUCCACAGCUGUUUUAUAGUAACUCAGAGUUUGAAGAGAAAUUACUCCUGCAGUACCAGUUUCCAAAAUGCUUUGUAGCAUCUUCUCAAAAAACAAAUGGGAAGAAGCCAAUCAGAAAUAAGGUAGAAUUGGCCAGGCACGGUGGCUCAUGCCUGUAAUCCAGCACUUUGGGAGGCCAAGGUGGACGGAUCACCUGAGGUCAGGAGUUUGAGACCAGCCUGGCCAACAUGGGAAACCCUGUCUCUACUAAAAAUACAAAAAUCAGCUGGGCAUGGUGGCACUUGCCUAUAAUCUCAGCUACUUGGGAGGCUGCGGCAGAAGAAUCGCUUGAACCUGGGAGGCGGAGGUUGCCUCCCGGUGAGACAAGAUUGCACCACUGCGCUCCAGCCUGGGCAACAGACCGAGGCUCUGUCACGAAAAAAAAAAAAAAAAAAAAAAGAAA